rnacentral:rRNA from 1 species
GACGACGCUGGCGGCGUGCUUAACACAUGCAAGUCGAACGGACGAGUGAGAUAAGUUUACUUAACUCACAAGUUAGUGGCGGACGGGUGAGUAACACGUGGAUAAUCUACCUGCAACACCGGGAUAACGCUGUGAAAACGGUGCUAAUACCGGAUACGUUCCCUUGUGCGCAUGUAUGAGGGAAGAAAGCUCAGGCGGUUGCAGAUGAGUCCGCGGCUGAUUAGCUAGUUGGUGAGGUAAAGGCUCACCAAGGCGAUGAUCAGUAGCCGGCCUGAGAGGGUGAACGGCCACACUGGGACUGAGACACGGCCCAGACUCCUACGGGAGGCAGCAGUGGGGAAUCUUCCGCAAUGGGCGCAAGCCUGACGGAGCAACGCCGCGUGGGUGAAGAAGGCCUUCGGGUUGUAAAGCCCUGUCUUAUGGGAAGAAGUCAGUGACGGUACCAUAGGAGGAAGCCACGGCUAACUACGUG